rnacentral:rRNA from 1 species
UACGAAGGGGGCCAGCGUUGUUCGGAAUUACUGGGUGUAAAGGGUUCGUAGGCGGUGCGGCAAGUUGGGAGUGAAAUCUCUGGGCUUAACCCAGAGGCUGCUUCCAAAACUGCUGUGCUUGAGUGUGGGAGAGGCGCGUGGAAUUGCAGGUGUAGCGGUGAAAUGCGUAGAUAUCUGCAGGAACACCCGUGGCGAAAGCGGCGCGCUGGACCACUACUGACGCUGAGGAACGAAAGCUAGGGGAGCAAACAGG